GAUGAACGCUGGCGGCGUGCCUAACACAUGCAAGUCGAGCGGCAGCGAGGGGUGCUUGCACCCUGUCGGCGAGCGGCGGACGGCUGAGUAACGCGUGGGAACGUGCCCCAAAGUGAGGAAUAACUGCCCGAAAGGGUAGCUAAUACCGCAUAUUAUCUUCGGAUCAAAGGAUUUAUCCGCUUUGGGAGCGGCUCGCGUCGGAUUAGGUAGUUGGUGAGGUAAUGGCUCACCAAGCCGACGAUCCGUAGCUGGUCUGAGAGGAUGACCAGCCAGACUGGAACUGAGACACGGUCCAGGCUCCUACGGGAGGCAGCAGUGAGGAAUCUUCCACAAUGGGCGAAAGCCUGAUGGAGCAACGCCGCGUGCAGGACGAAGGCCUUCGGGUUGUAAACUGCUUUUAUAAGUGAGGAAUAUGACGGUAACUUAUGAAUAAGGAGCGGCUAACUACGUG
rnacentral:rRNA from 1 species